AUCCAACUGAUGAGUUCCAAAUAGGAGGAAACGCGUAUCCUGGAU
rfam:Schistosoma rodhaini strain Burundi genome assembly, scaffold: SROB_scaffold0000508